GAGUGUCCGGAAUUAGAAGCUGUCCGUAAUAUGAAUCAAAACGGUACUUUGAGAUGUUUUUUGCCAAUAAACCAUAUUUUGGAAUUGAAGUCUUGUGCAAAUUCUAAGACGGAAUUCCUAGAGUCUUUCUUGUAGAAUUGUGAGGAAUCCAGCAAUCAAAUAAAAAUUUCUGAUAGAAUUCUUGGAUAAUUUCUAAAUAUGAUUUUGAUAGAGCUUCCUCAGAAACUUGUUUUUUUUUUAAUUCAUUAGAGAGGUUUCAAUUAUCCUCUAGUCAUUCACCUAUAGAUAAAAUAUGAUGACUAAUCACUCAUCUUUAGUUGUUCCAUUAUGCAUGUUGCUUCUACCUUUUUCAACAUAUUGUUGUUUCUCAAAUAAUAAUCAAAUUCAAAAUCAAAUACAUUCUAGCAGUUUUGAAAAAUUGCAGGAUUCUUAUAAGCAGAAAUCAUUAACCGAUUUCUGAAAAUUCAUCACGAAAUCCUCAACAAGUUAUAAAGUAAUGAAAUUCGGUAAAGCCUUACAUUACGUGUUUUACCAUACGACAACUUUAGCAAUGAUUUUGAAAAUUACUGCCAAUAUGUUCACGUUAAACCUCUUCAGUUCUCCCACAAUAGUUAGAAAUAUUUAAAAUAGUCCCUUCACAACGGUUUGUUGGGAAUUUCUGUCAGUAGGAAUAUAAUGGGUUAUAUCUUAAUCUGUUCGCCACUGUAUCAUGAAACUUCGAAGUUCACCCAAGACAUUUUCUAAUAUCUUUGAUACAAGUGCCUUCAGUACAAGUUCCAUCUGUUUUAACGUUAAUCAUUUACCAUUAUAAAAUACGAAUAAAAAAAACAAGAAUUUUUGUGGUAAAUCCUACAAAACUAACUAAGCUUUUAUGUGCUGAAGACGGUAUAUAUUGUCUUCAUAAUUGCUCAGGAAAUUUUUGAGUAUUUUCGCAUAAGAAAUCAUAAAAGAACAAUUUAUAGGAAUGUUUGAUUAUUUUUUAAUUUCCUAGGUAGAAAUUAUUGAAGAAAUUUUGAAAUAUCGUUUUCGAGAGACAAUUUUGACGGAACGCGGGGAGCAACAUCAAAUUAAUUUUUAGUUUAAACUUAGAAAACUAAGAGAAUUUUC